UAAAGUAAGAGAGGUGCAACAUUCAGGCAACUUAUCUUAGGGAACUAGACCGUUUGAGGAUAAGUGAUGGGAAUGCUUGCCGAGGUGUGAAUUCACUAGACAGGAAUGAUCAUCGGCUGAGUCAGGUUGAAUCCUAUCAGCUGUCAUUUGAGCAAAGCUUAAAUGGAGUGCUCUUAAAUUU
rnacentral:ncRNA from 2 species